AUGAAAUAAUUUGAUUUUCACCUGUAAUGGUUGAGGUUUAAAUAAUAUAAAUAGAAUUAAUUGUGAUCUGGAUUCCUUUUUAUUCCUUUUGAGUGUCAUGAAAGGAUAGAUUUCAAUUUUUCAUGUAUGCUGGGAUUUGUUGUGUAUUGGAGUUGGUGGACAAAGAGUCUGACAGAACAACAGCUUUGUUUUUGGCGUCAAUUUAUACAUGAGACAGGGAAGACAAUGUUCUACUUCUGAAAGACAAGGCAAUUGUCAACAAGGGGCAGGGUAGAUAGUGUUCUGAAAGACAUGGCGAUAGCAGCGUUCAAAUCACUGACGAACUGUAGAUCUGUUCAGGCCAUUGCCAGACAGGGAUGCAGGAAACAUGGCUCAAAGAUGACUCUCUAAGAUUAAAUAGAAAGGCCAGUUCUCUGAUCAUAAUUUGAUCUGUAAACUUACUCUCUGCUUUUUAGGCAUUCAAAGGAAAAGGAACAGAGCCUGCCAGAUCUCAGGGGAAGAAAUUUCAAGUUUCUAUGGAACAAGAGGCUACAGGAUCACUUGACAACUAGGGUUGGCCAUCUAUGCAACAAUCCAAUUAUAUUGCUGCAGAGGGUGUAUACAGGCAGGUAGUUGGAUAUGGCCAUGAUGGCUACUUUCAUUGAGGAUAUGAAGCAAGAGAGAGAGAAGUGUAUUUACAGUGGGAUUUUAUGACUGCGAGGGUAGCUCAAUUUGCAAUAUUCUGAAUGCACUCUUUACAGGACAAUGGACGGUAUGCAACUUCUCUUCAUCCUUACUCUGUUUUAAUCUUGCUUGAAUUUCUUUGAUAAUAAUCUGGUGUCCAGAGUU